rnacentral:rRNA from 1 species
CCUACGGGAGGCAGCAGUGGGGAAUAUUGGGCAAUGGGCGCAAGCCUGACCCAGCAACGCCGCGUGAAGGAAGAAGGCUUUCGGGUUGUAAACUUCUUUUCUGAGGGACGAAGAAAGUGACGGUACCUCAGGAAUAAGCCACGGCUAACUACGUGCCAGCAGCCGCGGUAAUACGUAGGUGGCAAGCGUUAUCCGGAUUUAUUGGGGGUAAAGGGCGUGUAGGCGGGAUAGCAAGUCAGAUGUGAAAACUCAGGGCUCAACCCUGAGCCUGCAUUUGAAACUGGUUGUCUUGAGUGCUGGAGAGGCGAUCAGAAUUCCGUGUGUAGCGGGGAAAUGCGUAGAUAUACGGAGGAACACCAGUGGCGAAGGCGGAUUGCUGGACAGUAACUGACGCUGAGGCGCGAAAGCGUGGGGAGCAAACAGGAUUAGAUACCCGUGUAGUC